AGUGAACGCUGGCGGUAGGCCUAACACAUGCAAGUCGAACGGCAGCACAGUAAGAGCUUGCUCUUACGGGUGGCGAGUGGCGGACGGGUGAGGAAUACAUCGGAAUCUACUUUUUCGGGGGGGAUAACGUAGGGAAACUUACGCUAAUACCGCAUACGACCUACGGGUGAAAGCGGGGGAUCUUCGGACCUUGCGCGAUUGAAUGAGCCGAUGUCGGAUUAGCUAGUUGGCGGGGUAAAGGCCCACCAAGGCGACGAUCCGUAGCUGGUCUGAGAGGAUGAUCAGCCACACGGGAACUGAGACACGGUCCAGACUCCUACGGGAGGCAGCAGUGGGGAAUAUUGGACAAUGGGCGCAAGCCUGAUCCAGCCAUACCGCGUGGGUGAAGAAGGCCUUCGGGUUGUAAAGCCCUUUUGUUGGGAAAGAAAAGCAGCAGGUUAAUACCCCGCUGUUCUGACGGUACCCAAAGAAUAAGCACCGGCUAACUUCGUG
rnacentral:rRNA from 1 species